rnacentral:rRNA from 1 species
GACGAACGCGGCGGCGUGCUUAAUACAUGCAAGUAGAACGCUGAAGGAGGAGCUUGCUCUUCUGGAUGAGUUGCGAACGGGUGAGUAACGCGUAGGUAACCUGCCUGGUAGCGGGGGAUAACUAUUGGAAACGAUAGCUAAUACCGCAUAAGAGUAGAUGUUGCAUGACAUUUGCUUAAAAGGUGCAAUUGCAUCACUACCAGAUGGACCUGCGUUGUAUUAGCUAGUUGGUGAGGUAACGGCUCACCAAGGCAACGAUACAUAGCCGACCUGAGAGGGUGAUCGGCCACACUGGGACUGAGACACGGCCCAGACUCCUACGGGAGGCAGCAGUAGGGAAUCUUCGGCAAUGGACGGAAGUCUGACCGAGCAACGCCGCGUGAGUGAAGAAGGUUUUCGGAUCGUAAAGCUCUGUUGUAAGAGAAGAACGAGUGUGAGAGUGGAAAGUUCACACUGUGACG